GAAGAAGCAAGCUGCAGCGACACACAAAUUGUGAUGGUAGCUCCUUUAGUAUCAGCAACAAAUCCUAUGAUCGUUGGAGGCCGUCUCUUCGAGACUAAAUAAAUAAAACAUCUCAGAGACUACGCUAAGGAGCUGCUUAUUCUGGCCAACUUAUCAUAGGAGGCCGCCAGAAGAAUAUGUAAAUGAGGGUGGAGCAGGACUUGAAGCAGCGAAAGAUAAAACCAGCGUCAGAGAUCAUAAGAAUCGAGCAAGUGGGAAUGGAAAACUGUAAGAUGAUUUUAAAACUUGGAGAGAAAGGGAGCAGGCUGAAACAGCUAAGAUCGAGCAGCAAAGAUUGAGCAGCUUAAAGACGAAAAAUUUCUUAAACCAAGCAGGGGCAGCAGCUUCAAAAAG